AUACUUACCUGGCAGGGAACACCAUGAUCACGAAGGUGGUUUUCCCCAGGGCAAGCUCUUCCACUACACUUCGGAUGUGCUGACCCCUGCGAUUUCCCCAGAUGCAGGAACUUGCCUGCAUAGUUUGUGGUAGUGAGGGACUGCAUCCAUGCUCUCCCCUG